CAACGGUUCAACCGCAACCAUGCUUCUUCCCCAUCGUAUACUUCCUCCUCUCACCGGCACCGGCAGCAGCGCACCACCACCUCGGGCCCUCCGCUCCUCGCAUGCGCCUCGCCCUCUGCACACGGAAUCGCCAAGGCGACAUGUCAUAGCACCAUGUCGCACUUCACGGAACGUGCCAAGAAUAGCUGAAACUGAAGCUACACCUGCUGAACCUUCGGCAGCUGUUCAAGGUGCUACUGCCCCUCUAGUUCAGGCAUUGAAAUCAACAGCAGCUCAUGAAGUGUCCUGCUUUCACUUCCCAGGACACAACAGAGGGAAUGCUGCUCCGUCUUCACUGUCGAACCUUAUUGGCAUGGGAGCAUUCACGCAUGACUUGCCCGAGCUUCCUGAGCUCGAUGACCUCUUCUACCCUAAGGGUGUGAUUUUGGAUGCUCAGAACCGGGCGGCUCAACAAUUCGGAUCAUCUAAAACAUGGUUCCUGGUCAACGGGAGUACUUGUGGAAUCCAGGCUGCGGUUAUGGCUACCUGCUCCCCGGGUGACUACCUCGUCAUACCUCGAAACUGUCACAUUUCAGUGAUAUCUGCUAUGGUUUUAUCCGGUGCGGUACCUAAGUAUAUAGUACCAGAGUACAAUUCCGGGUGGGAUAUCGCUGGCGGUGUUACACCGUCACAGGUAGAUCAAGCACUGAAGGAGCUUCAGAAGGAUGGGAAGAAAAUAGGUGCUGUUCUUGUUACUUCACCGACCUAUCACGGGAUAUGCAGCAAUGUGCGUGGUAUUGUUGAUGCUUGUCAUCCAUUACACAUUCCAGUUAUAGUGGAUGAGGCACAUGGUGCACACUUCAGGUUCCAUGACAGUUUUCCAAGCACGGCGAUUGAGCAAGGUGCUGACCUGGCUGUGCAAUCCACGCACAAGGUUCUGAGCUCGCUCACACAGUCCUCAAUGCUUCACAUGGCUGGAGAUCUUGUUGAUGCAGAUAAAGUGAGCCAAUGCCUCCAAUUGCUCCAGAGCUCAAGCCCAAGUUACCUCCUAUUGUCAUCAUUAGAUGCUGCAAGAGCUCAAUUGAGUGAGAACUUAAAAUCCUUUGAUGAACCGGUGGCUAUGGCUUUUGAAACAAGAGAACAGCUGAGGUUGAUCCCAGGGAUAUCUGUCCUAGACCUGUCAAUCUUUGUUUCUGACUUCCCUGCCAUUGAUCCUUUGCGUAUCACAGUAAGUGCUACAGAUCUGCAUUUAUCUGGAUAUGAAGCAGAUGACAUUUUGGCUGAAGAGCAUCAAAUUGUUUCUGAGCUUGUCGGUACAAAGGCAGUGACAUUUGCAGUCAACUUAGGGACCAGACAACAAGAUGUUGAAAAGCUUGUACAGUCUACAAAGCAUGUCUCAGAAAAACACUCGUCCGCAAAAGAAUCCAGAUUUCGAAAAUGUCGUAGUCCAUUAGAUAAGUUCUCUGUCAAGCUGACUCCAAGAGAGGCCUUCUUUACAAACAAAAAGAGAGUGUGCAUUGAGGACAGCAUUGGCGAGAUCUGUGGUGAGCUUAUAUGCCCGUAUCCACCAGGUAUCCCUGUGCUGAUCCCAGGUGAGGUCGUAACACAGGAGUCCCUUUCUUACUUAAUACACGUCAGAGACCAGGGCAUGGUAAUAAGCGGGGCAGCUGAUGCCAAACUCAACUCGAUCAUGGUAUGCAACUUGUGAUUAUUAUUCUGAGGUUUCAAGAUAACCAUGUGGCAACAAUAGUUCGGUGGUUCACGGACUAAUGAAUUGAUGCAUCGGCAUAGUACGAGGGAUGAUAACCACACAUGGGUCCAAGCAGAGCACAGUCGGGUUCUUACUGCCUACUUGACCAAACAUUGAAAAUACGUCUCGUGAAGAAAGAGUUAGUUAUCAAGCUACAUGACGAUGCCAAAUUAUAAGUAGGGUCUAUCCGUCUAUGGCAUGUGGAUUCCUGUGAGCUCGAAGCAUAAACCAUUGAAGAGGCAACCUUGUCCCCUGAAGUGCCUUGGAAUCUUCCUUCUUUGGCUCACUUCAGAAUAGCGUGCUCAAUCUGAAUCGACUGAUCCAGCUCUCAACCAUCAGGUGCAGUCUUUACACCUUCAUGGUUUUCCAUCAGCAUGUUGCAAGGUUACCUGGUUACUCAAGCAAGUACUCUAGCUGCUUUUGUAAGUCCCACAUCAACUAGAGAAUUCAUGGAUAUUCCACUGGA